rnacentral:sRNA from 1 species
UACGUGGCAAAAAAGAUCUUUGGAAACG